CCUGCCUUCCACUUCUGUCGACCAUCACCGCCGGCGAGCGGUUUUUCCUUGCAAUUUGGGAAGGAGGCCCUCUUCUUUACUUUCUUCCCUUCUCGAUUCCGUGGCCUCAUCCAUCUUUCCUCGCCCUCUUCCUCUAGAAUCCUUGCCGCCACUGCCAAAAAAGAGAUCUCCUCCUCCUCUAGCCUGCUUAUCCCUUGUUUGUGCUCGCCAGUCCCUGUCUCUUCGUUGGAAUCCGGGGAGUGGCUGGAGCUUCUUCCUCCCCUAUGUCUUCAUUCAAGCUCUUUCGGACCGACGUAAGCUAGCCAAAGCAUUUC
rnacentral:lncRNA from 1 species